UACGUAGGGGGCCAGCGUUGUUCGGAAUUAUUGGGCGUAAAGGGCGCGUAGGCGGCUUGGUAAGUCCGUUGUGAAAUCCCUCGGCUCAACCGAGGAACUGCACGGGAUACUGGAUGACUUGAGUUCGGGAGAGGGAAGCGGAAUUCCGGGUGUAGCGGUGAAAUGCGUAGAUAUCCGGAGGAACACCGGUGGCGAAGGCGGCUUCCUGGACCGAUCACUGACGCUGAGGCGCGAAAGCUAGGGGAGCAAACGGG
rnacentral:rRNA from 1 species